rnacentral:rRNA from 1 species
UACGGGGGGCGCAAGCGUUGUUCGGAUUUACUGGGCGUAAAGGGCGCGUAGGCGGCCACCGCAAGUCGACUGUGAAAUCUCCGGGCUUAACCCGGAACGGUCAGCCGAUACUGCGGGGCUAGAGUGCAGAAGGGGCAACUGGAAUUCUCGGUGUAGCGGUGAAAUGCGUAGAUAUCGAGAGGAACACCUGCGGCGAAGGCGGGUUGCUGGGCUGACACUGACGCUGAUGCGCGAAAGCUAGGGGAGCGAACGGG